UGCUGGAAAAUUUGGAAGAUGAAAAACAGUUUAGAAAAUGGUCUGCCCCUGGGUAAAAUAAGAAAGCAACUGUGAUGAAACUAUUUCUAGUGUAUUCUUUUUAUCCUGUUGAACUCAGCACCAUUUUCUAUCGCACGGCACCCCGAGGACUCCCAGAUUGCAGAAGGAUCUGUUUCCCACAGAGGACUGAAUUAUGGCAUGUUGGAGACGUGGUUCUUCCUCCAGGUAUUUGUUGGUUCCUGCUAAAAAAGUCAAGACGUCCCAACCAAACAACCCAGGUUGCUCUGGCAGUAAGCCUCCCAGCUCAGCAAGUCCAGCACUGAAUAUACGCAAGAAGACAACAGGCCCCCGGAUGAAGUAGCGUGCAGAGGCUGAGCACCUGGAAAUGUUGCCGAUGAUGCCAAGAAAAUAUUGCUGAGAGACUGAACAUCAAACUUCAGCAUUCGUUUUAAUUUUACAGUUAAUCCUCUUUAUAGUCUCCAUAUUCUUUUGAUACUCUCCGUGAU